UAAAGUAAAUAACGAUGGUAGUUUUACUAUUAAACCACUAAUAAAAGAAUACUUUUUCAUUGAACCUAGUUUGGAGGAUUAUAAAAACCUCCCACCAUUAAUUUAUAUUAGCUUUAAAAAUUAUCAAAAUAAAACAUUAGAUUACUCAGAAAAGUUUAAUGAACAAGUUCCAGAAGAAAAAGCUAAUUUUGAACAUUAUAAAAAAAUUGAUCUAGGUAAAGUUUACUUAGAUCCUGAGUAAAAGUUUUACUCAGUCAUAUAACUCAAUCCUAAAAGCCCUUCUUUAAGAGCUUUUUAUUUAGCUUGCAUUAUUUCCAUUUUUAUUUAUGAUUGAGUAAUCACUCAAUUAUUUUAUUUGUAUAUGGCUCGUCCUCGUAGUGAAGAUAAACGUAAUGCAAUUUUAAGCGCUGCUAUCGAAACAUUGGCAGAGCUUGGCGAGCGUGCGUCUACCUCAAA
rnacentral:rRNA from 1 species